AAGCAAUUUCCUGGAUGGUGUGUAAGUCUAGAUCUGUUUGUCAACAUGUGAAAUCUACAUGUAUUUCGGGGAGUAGUCUCCCCUGUUACAGAUCAAUAAUGGUGGAUAUACAAUGUGGGAUGCAGUCUGGUCAUCAAGAGAGAGUUUUGACACCCGUAUACCUGUAUUUCUACCAAACACCUCCGUAACCUUUGUUGUGUUCAUCAGACAGAUGAUGGACCACUCUACUUCCUUUUACAACAGGUGCCCCUGCAGAUUCACGAAGUUCCAAUGUUGAGUUUCCAUGACCCCUAUUCAUCCACGACAGGAAAAGGAAUAAAGUUGACAGAACUUCCCACACUGUCCUUUGUAGCAACUUACGAUGGAACUGACAGCAGUAGACAUAGCCCGCUUCAUCAAAGAUUCACCAGAUGCAGCGGCACUUUCUCCAUCACUGGUGAAAUGGGAAAUGACUAGGGGAUGGUCAUCACUUUGUAACUCACCAAUACAUUUUGCAGUCCAUCACUUCUCAUCUCCAGUGGUGGUCUCUGGAGGAAUGGUUGCA